UGAGCCGUGAGUGAAUUAAGGCUUUGGCGACGGCCUCCUGCACACAAUCAGUUGGUUCACCCUCCAGGUACAACUCAUCCAGAUUUUCCAGGCUGUUUUGCUUGCGGAGACCCCUUGCCGAACUCUUCCCGACUGGGCAACGAUUUUCCAGUUUCGCUAUCGCUGUAGCUUCAGCAGGGAAAGAGAUCGACUUCUAGCCGGUAAGGGGUUUUAAGGUAUGUCCCUCCCCUUCUGUGUUUGCCCCUCCCAUGUGCUGAGUCCU